AUGAUACAAUGCGGGAGGAGAUCAACAUGUAGAGCAAGGUCUCCUGGUCCAAGUCCCCUGUCAGGAUGUGGUUCAACAUCAAGGGCAAGGCGCAGGAUUUCCAUGCGGAUAACGAUGCUACUACCCAAGGAUGGGACGAAGGUGAUUAACGGAGGACCAGCUGCUUGUAGAGGGACACAGGCGCUGCCAAGAAAAGCAGAAUUGGUACAGUUAAAGCAUUUGGACCAUGCUCCCCCCUCUCUCUCUCUUCAUACAUCAAAAUUGCAGCUACCUCUUUUCUUUCUUUGUUGCUGCUUGGUCAGAGCUCUUUUUAACUGCUAUGCCUCUUUUGCCAAAUAUAAAUAUAAACAAUCUACUUAUCCGAUUGUUUGUUGGAGCAGCCCAACUUAUCUGAUUGUUAGUUAUUAUGUUUAUGUUGUUCCUUAUGGGCCUACUUCAGAACGGUCGUUGAAGCGAAAUAUCGAUCAUGUUCGUAGAUCAGGGAAUGAAUUUGAUGUGUCACGCCUGACAAAAGCCCAAGAUUACAGAAUCUUUGUGUCGACGUGGAAUGUUGGUGGCCAAUGCCCAUCAAGGGGGUUAAAUUUAGAUGACUGA
rnacentral:rRNA from 1 species